rnacentral:snoRNA from 1 species
UUUUAUAUGAUUAUAAAACACUUUAUGGACUUUCGGGUCUGCUUUUACUGAGGAUGUACAUGCAGGACAUAUUGUUAAUUAGGAAUUCUUCGUUUAUGAUCUGAAA